CUGGUCGAGCGUAACAUUGCCCUCUGCUUGUCAGUUCGAAAGUUGACACGAGUUGUUGUUUUUCGUCACAACAGUGUUUGAAAAUUGAUGUGCUGCGAGUGUUUAAUUGAAAGACGGCAAAAAGCGAUUGAAGGAAUUUAUGUGACAGUACCUUUCAACGACGAUAUCCCGCUAAUGUAGGAAAUCUAACAUGGCGUCGCUCGCCCAAAUUGGAACAUUUUAUUUCGCCCAAACUGGGUGAGAGGACAAAUUCAUUGAAGCAAAUGGGUUCAUCGAAUAGCAUGAAAUAUUCUUUAUUAUUCAGUAACAAUGGUUAGUUUAUAUCCAUGAGCAGACAAAAUAUUGAUGAAAAAAUGUGCAAACUGUGCGGUAUUAGGAACUUUUCUCAAUUCAUAAGAUUUAAAAUAUUUUCACAAGCAAAAUACGCCGAAGAAAUCCUUAUGUUUGCCCAAAUCGGGAUAUUGACCUUAU